rnacentral:rRNA from 1 species
GCAAGUCGAACGGUCAAUCGCAAGAAAGAUAGUGGCAAACGGGUGAGUAAUACGUAAGUGACCUGUCCUAAAGUGGGGAAUAAUCUACCGAAAGGUGGACUAAUACCGCAUGUUAUGAUGAGGGUGAUGCUUCAUCAAGAAAGCCGUAAGGCGCUUUUGGAGGGGCUUGCGUCCGAUUAGCUAGUUGGUAGGGUAACGGCCUACCAAGGCGAGGAUCGGUAGCUGGUCUGAGAGGACGAUCAGCCACACUGGGACUGAGACACGGCCCAGACUCCUACGGGAGGCAGCAGCAAGGAAUAGUAGGCAAUGGGCGAAAGCCUGACCUCGCGACGCCGCGUGAAGGAUGAAGGCCUUCGGGUCGUAAACUUCUUUUCUCGGGGAUGAAUAAUGACAGUACUCGGGGAAUAAGUCACGGCUAACUACGUGCCAGCAGCCGCGGUAAGACGUAGGUGGUUAGCGUUAUCCGGAUUUACUGGGCGUAAAGAGUGCGUAGGCGGCCUUUCAAGUCAGAUGUAAAAUCUCCCGGCUCAACUGGGAGGGACCACCUGAUACUGUUGGGCUAGAGUACAGCAGAGGGAAGCGGAAUUCCCGGUGUAGUGGUGGAAUGCGUAGAUAUCGGAAGGAACACCAGUGG